GAUGAACGCUGGCGGCGUGCUUAACACAUGCAAGUCGAACGAGAAAUGUAGACGGAAACCUUCGGGUGGAAGCCUUCAUUUCGAGUGGCGGACGGGUGAGUAACGCGUGGGUAACCUGCCUCAUACAGGGGGAUAACAGUUGGAAACGACUGUUAAUACCGCAUAAGACCACAGCAUCGCAUGAUGCGGGGGUAAAAACUCCGGUGGUAUGAGAUGGACCCGCGUUCGAUUAGCCAGUUGGCGGGGUAACGGCCCACCAAAGCGACGAUCGAUAGCCGAUCUGAGAGGAUGACCGGCCACAUUGGGACUGAGACACGGCCCAAACUCCUACGGGAGGCAGCAGUGGGGAAUAUUGCACAAUGGGGGAAACCCUGAUGCAGCGACGCCGCGUGAGUGAAGAAGUACUUCGGUAUGUAAAGCUCUAUCAGCAGGGAAGAAAAUGACGGUACCUGAGUAAGAAGCCCCGGCUAACUACGUG
rnacentral:rRNA from 1 species